rnacentral:rRNA from 1 species
UACAGAGGUCCCAAGCGUUGUUCGGAUUCACUGGGCGUAAAGGGUGCGUAGGUGGUCAGGUAAGUCGGAUGUGAAAUGCCCGGGCUUAACCUGGGAACUGCAUUUGUGACUGCAUGGCUAGAGUUUGGCAGAGGGGGGUAGAAUUCCACGUGUGAGCAGUGAAAUGCGUAGAUAUGUGGAGGAACACCGAUGGCGAAGGCAGCCCCCUGGGUCAAGACUGACGCUCAUGCACGAAAGCGUGGGGAGCAAACAGG